rnacentral:lncRNA from 1 species
GGCAAUGGGGGCAGAGAGGCAGGCAAGUCUGGGCUCCGCCAGGGAGCUCCAGGCCUGGCGCGCGGCUGUGGGUGCCACGCGGGGACUGGGGUGCAGUGGAGACUGUCCGCGCGCGGCUCCAACUCGAGAGCGAGGGUCGCUCGGGAAAACCACAGAUGAUGGUGCUGGAUCAUCGCUAGUUAAAGUGCUGGAUAUGCCCAAGGUCACAUGGCCUAAGAAAAACUGCUCUCCCUUCCAAGGACCCAGCAGUCUUUAGACCAGCUCAAGUCUCCGUCCUGAAACUCGAGUCUGAGUUUCACUGGUCUGGAAACACUCAGCAGCAAACACCAGCCCCUCACGACAGAGUUGCAGCUUACUCUCUGGAUCCACGAUGCUCAGGACUUUCUUUAGCACCAGUGAAUGGCUGGCACUCAGGCCUGAGUUCCAGCAAGUACCGCGGGCGGUGACUGCACCACUGUAACAGACGGAAUUGAUGGGAAAAUGCCUACUUCCCCAAGGACCCUGAGUGGCUCUUGCUGCCCUGACUGCGCCCUGGGAGUUGUCUUCAGGGUCCCUCAGAAGCCCUCACAAUCUACAACUACAAGAGAAACUCUUGCUUCAGCAAGGCAUAUCUGAGGCGCUUCUCUGGAAUUUAUGCCAGUGACCAUCCUGAGUGGCCCGGGGAGUGGUUGGACAGCUGGGUGGAUUUUGGAGUCCCAAUCCUGGAGAGCAAGUCUCGAUUCUUGUUCUCCACACGUCACCGGAAAGCAUCCAGGCUCAGCGCACUUCUCCGUUCCUCGCUGCUUCUUACCUUACUUCUGAUCACGAGCUCCCUUCUGUUUUGAAUUCCUUGGAGCCCGUCUCCCUUCAUUGGACAUACAACUGUAUGCAAUCUCAGUUUUGAUACAACUUUCCCAGCUUGUGAUGUAUAUUUCUCUAGUUUUCUUUGAACCCCCCCAGUGUGAAACAUAUCUAAUACAACGUUUUGUACUCUUCAUGACACAUAGCUGUCGGGGAUUCAAAUCACAAGAUAGAAUGUAAUACGCCCCGGGGAGUGGGUGGACCCCAUAUACCCUUGAAACAGAAGGAUGUUGCUGAGAUGGUCCAGUGCCUUACCCUGUCACUCAGAUGCUCAGUCAGAAAAUAAAAGCUCUGGUUGAACUGGCUUUGAACUGUCCCUCAGGGCCUUCAUGCUUUCCCAACAGCCCUCACAGAGUCACUUCCACUAUGUCGCAGUCACCUGGGGAUGACACUCUAAAGACUCUUCAUUCUGAGAACAUUGAACAAAAGUUUUUGUGUUUUGGGAAAGGACCCUUGCACUCCCUACACAUGACUUUUCUACCCUGGGGUGGUUCUUGAAGACAACUUCCCCAAGCAGUCGUCAGAAGGGGUGCUCACACUGUCUCUUGUCACAUGUGGUUCAUAUGCUCAGCCACAGCUCAGUCAUGCGUAUGUGCUCUGGCCCUUGUGACAUCUCCUGAGGCCAGCAGGAUGCUGGCAAGCCCAGUGUCUGCUCAAACUUAUCUUUUAGUUUCUCUUCAGAGUCUCAGAAAAACACAGGUGGAAAUCUGCGCUCGAUAUUGCGGGAAACACAAGUUGUAUGUAUAAAAUUUUGCCAAAACCCCAGUGAAAUUCUAAAAUUUAAACAUAUUUUAAAAAAAUAAUGUUUAAAUGUUUUUAUGCUGAAAAUACUCAAAUUGUGCUUGCCUCUCAAAUACAGUGAGAAUAAAAAUUGCUUACAGUCU